rnacentral:lncRNA from 1 species
GCACCUGCUGUUCUUCCAAGUAUGACUUAACCCUUGGUUACCCUAAUUCUGUAUUCUCCUGCCUCAGUGGGAGGUGAUUGGAUCAUGGGAACGGAUUUCCUCCUUGCUGUUCUCACGCUAGUGAGUGAGUUCUCACGAGAUCCGAGCAUUUAAUAGUGUGUGGCUCCUCCUGCUUCGCUCUCCUGCUGCCAUAGGAAGGUGUGCUUGCUACUCCUUUGCCUUCUGCCAUGAUUGUGAGUUUCCUGAGACCUCCUAGUCAUGCUUCCUGUUCAGCCUGCAGAACUGCUGGAGUGCAAUGGCGUGAUCUCGGCUCACUGCAACCUCUGCCGCCCAGCUUCAAACGAUUCUCCUGCCUCAGCCUCCAGAGUACCUGGGAUUACAGCUUCCAGUAAACUUUUAAAAUGAAAAAGAAGGCAAGAUUAAAUAAUCUCAACUAUGUGACUGCUUAAAUGGGGAAUGAAAUCAAUUCUUCACAUCUAUGGAAAAACAAGUGAGCCAGGGUUGUGAUUCCAACUGGAUAAAGAAUGAACGUGGAAUUAUUAAUGUGAUGUAACAGAGGAAGAAAUAAGUUUAAUUGAUCAAGUAUUUGCUCAGUAUGUACUAGGAGCCUGGAAAUUGAAGAGUUUUAUCUCUUGGAAUUCCUUAAGAAAAACCUUGGCUUAAUAAUUUAAAUGUUUUCAUGUCUGAAGCAGGAAAAUGAAUUAGCUAUUACAGGUGCAUUCUUGUUCUUUGAUGCUUACUUGUUAGGACAUAGGCCACCCUUCACUGCUAGUAAUGUGUUCUUAGACAGAAUUAAAAUUGAGCCCACAUCACAUUCUCACAGCCAAACUUGUAAAUCUAUCCUUUAAAGCUCAAAUUUCUGUUUUGAUUAGAUGCAAAACAUUCAGAUGAUUUAUGAUUGUUUAAUUAAAAGAAAUCAGUGAAAUAAAAACAAAUUAAACUGUUUUAAUUGCUUUUGGGUUCAAUUAAUCAACUAUUGCCUACUUGAUGUAUCUACCAACAUUAACACAAGGAAAUAUAUUCAUUAGUUUCAUUCACUUGCUAUUGAAAUGAGACUU